AACAACUCGGUGAAAGUACAUCAAAAGCUCAGAUAAAGAAAUUACAACUGACUUUUAAGCAAAAGAAUUUCGUACUGGGAAAAUUACCACUACAAGAAAGUCAUUUAAAGGACGCAAUAAUUAAUACCAUUUUCGUCGCAGGAAUCUUGUUUAAAUUUGACAUCGUAUACAGCAGGCGAUCAGAAAGUUUUGAAAUAUUGUAUCAGUCGCUUGUUUUUGUUCUUACCGAGAUCUGGUGUGAAGUUCUUUAUCAAGGUAAAAUAGUAAUGAUUUGCUAUCGAGUCGCCGCCAUUACGUUGAUAUUAUUGCAUCUGGUCAUUUCCUGUUUAGCUUUUCACGUCGACUAUCCAAAUUAUCUGCAGAAUACAGUGGCGAAGCGUUCCAAUAUGGAUUUAGCCUUUAUGCAGAUGUACGAGCUAUGUGAUACAGAUUCAAACGGAAUAUUUACUCCGGAUGAAUACCCAUGUUUAGAUGACGCGCUGCGCAUUUUCUUCGGUCGUAAGUGAAACGUGUCUAUGAACUGAAGACUCGUUUUGUUUUGUACUUGGUGUCUUUGGAGGAACGUGUUUUAUCUUAAUGCUGUGUAACACAAACUGAAAAUAAAUCUGAUUUUUUGAAAUUAUCUAGUUCUGUAAAAUUCACUUUCUGACCACCCCACUCGGCAAGCCUCGGCAUUUUCUGGUACCCUCCAACUAACCUCAAAAUGGCUUCGUUCGAAGAGUGUGUAGAGUUUUCAUUGCAAAAUUGUCCUUUGAUUAAAGAAAAUCGGAUAAACCUGAAGGAAAAACAGCUUCAGACAUUGAAAGCUUUGUUUGUUAAAACACUCUUCAU